AUUUAUAUAGUUUAAAUUAAAAUAUUAUAUUUUCAUUAUAAAGUUAGAAUACUUCUUUUAAAUA
rnacentral:tRNA from 1 species